rnacentral:rRNA from 1 species
GACGAACGCUGGCGGCGUGCUUAACACAUGCAAGUCGAGCGGUAAGGCCCUUUCGGGGGUACGACGAGCGGCGGACGGGUGAGUAACGCGUGGGUGGACCUGCCCUCCAGCUCUGGGAUAAGCCUGGGAAACCGGGUCUAAUACCGGAUAUGACUCCAUGACGCAUGUUGUGGGGUGGAAAGCCUUGUGCGGCUGAGGAUGGGCCCGCGGCCUAUCAGCUUGUUGGUGGGGUGGAUGGCCUACCAAGGCGACGACGGGUAGCCGGCCUGAGAGGGCGACCGGCCACACUGGGACUGAGACACGGCCCACGACUCCUACGGGAGGCAGCAGUGGGGAAGUCUUGCGCAAUGGGCGAAAGCCUGACGCAGCGACGCCGCGUGAGGGA